rnacentral:rRNA from 1 species
AGUUUGAUCCCGGCUCAGAUUGAACGCUGGCGGGAUGCUUUACACAUGCAAGUCGAACGGCAGCACGGACUUCGGUCUGGUGGCGAGUGGCGAACGGGUGAGUAAUGUAUCGGAACGUGCCUAGUAGCGGGGGAUAACUACGCGAAAGCGUAUUAAUACCGCAUACGGGCCUCUUCGGGGGAAAGCGGGGGACCUCUGGGCCUCGUACCAUACGGGCUUCAUAUCGGAUUAUUGGUGGGGUAACGGCUCACCAAGGCGACGAUCCGUAGCUGGUUUGAGAGGACACCAGCCACACUGGGACUGAGACACGGCCUGACUCGCCGGGAGGCAGCAGUGGGGAAUUUUGACAAUGGGAAACCCUGAUCCAGCCAUCAUGUGAUGAAGGCCUUCGGUUGUGUAAAGCACUUUUAGCAGGAAAGAAAUCGGUACUGGAGCACACCUGUGCAACUGACGGUACCUGCAGAAUAAGCACCGGCUAACUACGUGCCAGCAGCCGCGGUAAUACGUAGGGUGCAAGCGUUAAUCGGAAUUACGGCGCAAGCGUGCGCAUAAGCGGUUCGGAAAGAAAAAGAGCGAAAUCCCAGAGCUAACUUUGGAACUGCAUUUUUAACUACCGAGCUAGAGUGUGUCAGAGGAGGUGGAAUUCCGCGUGUAGCAGUGAAAUGCGUAGAGAGUGCGGAGGAACACCGAUGGCGAAGGCAGCCUCUGGAUAACACUGACGCUCAUGCACGAAAGCGUGGGGAGCAAACAGGAUUAGAGCACACUUGGUAGUCCAUGCCCUAAAAACGAUGUCAACUAGCUGUUGGGGCCUUCUGGCUCCGGUAGCGCAGCUAACGCGUGAAGUUGACCGCCUGGGGAGUACGGUCGCAAGAUUAAAAAACUCAAAGGAAUUGACUGGGACCCGCACAAGCGGUGGAUGAUGGGAUUAAUUCGAUGCAACGCGAAAAACCUUACCUACCCUUGACAUGUCUGGAAUCCCGAAGUAGACGGGAGUGCCCGCAAGAGAACCGGAACACAGGUGCUGCAUGAACAAGCCGUCAGCUCGUGUCGUGAGAUGUUGGGUUAAGUCCCGCAACGAGCGCAACCCUUGUCAUUAGUUGCUACGAAAGGGCACUCUAUCGACUGCCGGUGACAAACCGGAGGAAGGUAGAUGACGUCAAGUCCUCAUGGCCCUUAUGGGCAGGGCUUCACACGUCAUACAAUGGUCGGGACAGAGGGUCGCCAACCCGCGAGGGGGAGCCAAUCCCAGAAACCCGAUCGUAGUCCGGAUCGCAGUCUGCAACUCGACUGCGUGAAGUCGGAAUCGCUAGGUAAUCGCGGAUCAGCAUGUCGCGGUGAAUACGUUCAGGGUCUUGUACACACCGCCCGUCACACCAUGGGAGUGGGGUUUUACCAGAAGUAGUUAGCCUAACCGUAAGGAGGGCGAUUACCACGGUAGAUUCAUGACUGGGGUGAAGUCGUAACAAGGUAGCCCC